rnacentral:lncRNA from 1 species
AUGUAUUUUUUUGUUUUGUAUGUGUGUUUUUGGGAGAGUGACAUCUUACUCCUCCACCGUCUCGAUCCUUCCCGUUCUAAUGAAAUUUUAAAAGGGGACAGGGCACCGACUCAUGCAAUAAAUUUCACCUUCAAAGGCCAAAAAAAGAACAAAAGAUUCCAGUGCCUGCUGGCCUGUUCCGCCCUCCAUCCUAAAGACCCAGAGGAGGCAGCAGGAGAUUCCUGCCAUCGUAAAUUUCUGGCUGAUGGAGAAGGGAAGGGAGAAGAGCCAAGUGCCCUCGGAAUUCUUGGCCGCCCCCCAGUGACCACCGGUCCUGGCCGGCUCCCCACACCGUGCUGGAGAACACAGUGUCGCUGUCCUGUGCAUGAGGUCUCAGGAUGGACAGACCAGCCAACAUGGCUCUGGAGUAAGAAGACUCCCCCUUGGAAGAUUUGGUGUGCCGGCCCCACAGUCACCGACCCCCUGGACUAGCCCAUGCGUGGUGAGUUGCUUCUCUGCUGGUGACUCUGCAUUUGCUCUGAGCCAGGCUGGCUCCUGUGGUCUCUGUGGUGUGUGGACCUGGCCCACUCCCCCUGGAGCAGGAAGUACCAGGGCCUUCAUGCUGCAGAGCUGCAGACACGACCUGGUCCACAUUUGCUAGAGCCUUCCUUCGGAAAGGCCGCCCAGAUGCCCCGAGCCUCGAGUUCCCUGUCUGUAAAAAUACGGACAACAGUGCCCUGCUUCCAGAGGCUGCAGGACUCAAGCAGGAGGUGACGGGCCAUGCCCCAGCCUUCCUCCUCUGAGGGAACAGGAGCUGAUCCCGGGACAGUCACCUGCCCAGGACACAGAGCUCCACAGUGCGUCACACAGAAAACAGCCGGACGCGCCUGGCGUUUCCUUACCCAAGUCUUUUGACUUUACUCCUUUUGUGCACAUUGCUCAGGGCUCUCAGAGUUGGGUUUUGUUUCGGGAUCCAAUUUCAGUCUCGUCCUUUUAAAGGGCCUGUUGGGCACACUCACGUGUACUCACAUGAAGACAGAUGUGUUUGGUGUCUAUCUUGUUUUGCCUUUUAAUGCCAUACUUUCCAUUUUUCCCUUUUUUUCUUUUCUUUUCCUUCUUAGGGCCACGCCUGUGGCCAGUGGAAGUUCCUGGGCUAGUGGUCGAAUCUGGGCUACAGCCGCCAGCCGCCAGCCGCCAGCACAGCCACAGUCGCACCCACUCCAAGCUGCAUCUGCAGUCUACACCGCAGCUUUCAGGAACACUGAAUCCUUAACCCACUGAGUGAUGCCAGGGCUUGCCCCCGCAUGCUCAUGGGUGCUAGUCGGAUUCUGAACCUGCUGAGCCACAACAGGAACUCCAGUGCUUUCCGUUUGUCACCCUCCUAAGGCAGUCUUCCACUCCCAGUCGUCCUCCUUUGCUGCUCUGCGGGUGGAGCGGUCGUCUUCACAAGGAGGGCCUCCUCAGCGUCCUCUGCGCAGCCUCCUCAGGCAGC